AACAAAUGUGAGCAGAUCAGCUCUCUGGAGUAUGUCAUACUCUGCUUUGGCUCCUAACUGCAGCUCACAAGCAGAGUUCUUAGCACAUUUUAUGUAGGAAGUCCACCCCAUUCCUUUCAAAUGAUGAAAUUUAGCUGUAUCCUAAAGGAUAUGAUCACAGCUACCCUACUAGCAGUGACAUUCCAGACCAUGCAUGCUGACAGGCCAAGUUGGGCAUCCACUAAUCCACAUCUCCAUGAGGCAGUUGAAUUAAGUGUCCAGACUCAAAGCCCUGGUAUUUCUGGAACAAAACAAUCUAUUUUCAGUCGUUGUUUGUUUUUUUUUUUUCCCACAGAAAACCCGCAGCCAGCAUCACAGCAAAAGCUUGGGAACAUCUCUUUGUUUCCUAAAAUCCAGGAAAGAGGAAUGCGUGUUCACAGGCUUUGUUAACCUCACAGGCUGAGUUAAACCUGGUUAUAUCCUGUACCAGCCCCACUGAAGGACAGCAUGAAGAUAAAGGUUGUCUGAAUUCAUCCCACCUGACUUCCAGGUUUUAGGACAGGACCCAAAGAUCACUGAACCAUCAGUGGAAAGAAACAAACUCUUCCCAAGAGUGAAUCGGGUUCUAUUCAUCAGCUGCAAGGUCUAUGCUAGGAUGUUGUCUCCUUGCCUGCACAGCUGGGGUAGUUCCUCACAGGCAGCUGGGAAAUGGGCCUGGACAAGAGGAGUGUGGCUUUUCUUAGGGCUUGCCUCCCUCUGGACAAAAUCUUGGCUUCCAGGGAGGAAGACAGCUGCACCAUGCAUCCAGAGAGACUGUGUGAAUAGCAG
rnacentral:lncRNA from 1 species